rnacentral:misc_RNA from 1 species
AAGUCGUAACAAGGUUUCCGUAGGUGAACCUGCGGAAGGAUCAUUAGAGAGGGGAGAUUGUUCCAUGUGAUGUGAUAUGAAUGUGAGUUUGGUCGUUGGACCAAGAAUUUUUAGUAUUUUACAGAUUUUCUGAUUUUCUAAUUUUGAAAUUAACCAGUAAAACUGGCAGCAAUGGAUCCCUCGGUUCUC